AAGACUAUACUUUCAGGGAUCAUUUCUAUAGUUCUUAACUAGGAAAUGUGUUUCGAAAGUGUUGCGUCUCCCAAACCACGAUGAUGAGUUUUGAUACUUCUUUCUGAGCGUGAAUCAGGUGUAGAGUAAUGAUUAGGUUCAUAUGCUCUAUGUCAUUGAUGAACGUUCCUUUCUGCUUAUAGUAGUUAGGAGGAGAGGGGUAUGAACAGAGUGGU